rnacentral:rRNA from 1 species
GACGAACGCUGGCGGCGUGCCUAAUACAUGCAAGUUGAGCGCUGAAGGUUGGUACUUGUACCGACUGGAUGAGCAGCGAACGGGUGAGUAACGCGUGGGGAAUCUGCCUUUGAGCGGGGGACAACAUUUGGAAACGAAUGCUAAUACCGCAUAAAAACUUUAAACACAAGUUUUAAGUUUGAAAGAUGCAAUUGCAUCACUCAAAGAUGAUCCCGCGUUGUAUUAGCUAGUUGGUGAGGUAAAGGCUCACCAAGGCGAUGAUACAUAGCCGACCUGAGAGGGUGAUCGGCCACAUUGGGACUGGGACACGGCCCAAACUCCUACGGGAGGCAGCAGUAGGGAAUCUUCGGCAAUGGACGAAAGUCUGACCGAGCAACGCCGCGUGAGUGAAGAAGGUUUUCGGAUCGUAAAACUCUGUUGGUAGAGAAGAACGUUGGUGAGAGUAGAAAGCUCAUCAAGUGACGGUAACUACCCAGAAAGGGACGGCUAACUACGUG